rnacentral:rRNA from 1 species
ACGCUGGCGGCACGCCUAACACAUGCAAGUCGAACGAAGUAGCAAUACUUAGUGGCAGACGGGUGAGUAACAUGUAGGUAUCUGCCCUUUGGCCUGGAAUAACACGAGGAAACUUGUGCUAAUACCGGAUAAGUCUUUACGGAGAAAGCUUUAUGCACCAUUGGAUGAGCCUGCACUUGAUUAGUUUGUUGGUAGGGUAAUGGCCUACCAAGACUAUGAUCAAUAGCUGAUUUGAGAGGAUGAUCAGCCACAUUGGGACUGAGACACGGCCCAAACUCCUACGGGAGGCAGCAGUGGGGAAUCUUGCACAAUGGAGGAAACUCUGAUGCAGCGAUGCCGCGUGAGUGAAGAAGGCCCUUGGGUUGUAAAGCUCUUUCGUCGGGGAAGAAAAUGACUGUACCCGAAUAAGAAGGUCCGGCUAACUUCGUGCCAGCAGCCGCGGUAAUACGAAGGGACCUAGCGUAGUUCGGAAUUACUGGGCUUAAAGAGUUCGUAGGUGGUUGAAAAAGUUGGUGGUGAAAUCCCAGAGCUUAACUCUGGAACUGCCAUCAAAACUUUUCAGCUAGAGUAUGAUAGAGGAAAGCAGAAUUUCUAGUGUAGAGGUGAAAUUCGUAGAUAUUAGAAAGAAUACCAAUUGCGAAGGCAGCUUUCUGGAUCAUUACUGACACUGAGGAACGAAAGCAUGGGUAGCGAAGAGGAUUAGAUACCCUCGUAGUCCAUGCCGUAAACGAUGUGUGUUAGACGUUGGAAAUUUAUUUUCAGUGUCGCAGCGAAAGCGAUAAACACACCGCCUGGGGAGUACGACCGCAAGGUUAAAACUCAAAUGAAUUGACGGGGACCCGCACAAGUAGUGGAGCAUGUGGUUUAAUUCGAAGAUACGCGCAGAACCUUACCAACACUUGACAUGUUCGUCGCGACUCUAAGAGAUUAGAGUUUUCGGUUCGGCCGGACGAAACACAGGUGCUGCAUGGCUGUCGUCAGCUCGUGUCGUGAGAUGUUGGGUUAAGUCCCGCAACGAGCGCAACCCUCACUUUUAGUUGCCAUCAUUAAGUUGGGCACUCUGAAAGAACUGCCAGUGAUAAGCUGGAGGAAGGUGGGGAUGACGUCAAGUCCUCAUGGCCCUUACGUGUUGGGCUACACACGUGCUACAAUGGUAUCUACAACAGGAAGCGAAACGGCAACGUUAAGCAAAUCCCGAAAAGAUACCUCAGUUCGGAUUGCACUCUGCAACUCGAGUGCAUGAAGCUGGAAUUACUAGUAAUCGUGGAUCAGCGUGCCACGGUGAAUGCGUUCCCGGGUCUUGUACACACC